GUCUCCCUGUAGCUCAGUGGUUAGAGCAUCCGACCGGUAUGCGGAAGGGCAUGGGUUUGAUUCGGGUCGGGAACU
rnacentral:tRNA from 1 species